GAAGGGAGCUUGCUCCUGAAUUCAGCGGCGGACGGGUGAGUAAUGCCUAGGAAUCUGCCUGGUAGUGGGGGACAACGUUUCGAAAGGAACGCUAAUACCGCAUACGUCCUACGGGAGAAAGCAGGGGACCUUCGGGCCUUGCGCUAUCAGAUGAGCCUAGGUCGGAUUAGCUAGUUGGUGAGGUAAUGGCUCACCAAGGCGACGAUCCGUAACUGGUCUGAGAGGAUGAUCAGUCACACUGGAACUGAGACACGGUCCAGACUCCUACGGGAGGCAGCAGUGGGGAAUAUUGGACAAUGGGCGAAAGCCUGAUCCAGCCAUGCCGCGUGUGUGAAGAAGGUCUUCGGAUUGUAAAGCACUUUAAGUUGGGAGGAAGGGUUGUAGAUUAAUACUCUGCAAUUUUGACGUUACCGACAGAAUAAGCACCGGCUAACUCUGUGCCAGCAGCCGCGGUAAUACAGAGGGUGCAAGCGUUAAUCGGAAUUACUGGGCGUAAAGCGCGCGUAGGUGGUUCGUUAAGUUGGAUGUGAAAU
rnacentral:rRNA from 4 species